rnacentral:rRNA from 1 species
UACGGAGGGGGCUAGCGUUGUUCGGAAUUACUGGGCGUAAAGCGCACGUAGGCGGCUUUGUAAGUUAGAGGUGAAAGCCCAGGGCUUAACCCUGGAAUUGCCUUUAAGACUGCAUCGCUCGACUUGUGGAGAGGUAAGUGGAAUUCCGAGUGUAGAGGUGAAAUUCGUAGAUAUUCGGAAGAACACCAGUGGCGAAGGCGACACACUGGACCAUUACUGACGCUGAGGCUCGAAAGCGUGGGGAGCAAACAGG